rnacentral:rRNA from 1 species
GUUCCGAGACAGGUGCUGCGAUGGCUGUCGUCAGCUCGUGCCGUGAGGUGUGGGUAAGUCCCGCAACGAGCGCAACCCUAUUGCCAGUUGCUACCAGGUAAUGCUGGGCACUCUGGUGAGACUGCCCCGGUUAACGGGGAGGAAGGUGGGGACGACGUCAAGUCAUCAUGGCCCUUACGCCUAGGGCUACACACGUACUACAAUGGCGCAUACAAAGGGCAGCGAUACCGCGAGGUGGAGCCAAUCCCAAAAAGUGCGUCCCAGUCCGGAUUGCAGUCUGCAACUCGACUGCAUGAAGUUGGAAUCGCUAGUAAUUCGAGAUCAGCAUGCUCGGGUGAAUGCGUUCCCGGGCCUU